AUUGAACGCUGGCGGCAUGCUUUACACAUGCAAGUCGAACGGUAACAGGCCUUCGGGCGCUGACGAGUGGCGAACGGGUGAGUAAUGCAUCGGAACGUGCCCAGUCGUGGGGGAUAACGCAGCGAAAGCUGUGCUAAUACCGCAUACGAUCUGCGGAUGAAAGCGGGGGACCUUCGGGCCUCGCGCGAUUGGAGCGGCCGAUGUCAGAUUAGGUAGUUGGUGGGGUAAAGGCUCACCAAGCCAACGAUCUGUAGCUGGUCUGAGAGGACGACCAGCCACACUGGGACUGAGACACGGCCCAGACUCCUACGGGAGGCAGCAGUGGGGAAUUUUGGGCAAUGGGCGCAAGCCUGAUCCAGCAAUGCCGCGUGCAGGAAGAAGGCCUUCGGGUUGUAAACUGCUUUUGUACGGAGCGAAAAGGCUCCCUCUAAUACAGGGGGCUCAUGACGGUACCGUAAGAAUAAGCACCGGCUAACUACGUGCCAGCAGCCGCCGCUGUAA
rnacentral:rRNA from 1 species